rnacentral:lncRNA from 1 species
GCACAAUUUUUACUUGAACCACAACAAAUGGUAACUUUUAUAUGUGCCUGCCUCAUGAACAUUUAUAGAAUCUUUCUUUAAGUUCAUAAUAUACACACUGGGCUGGUCUCCAUAUUGGGACCGGCUACUCCAAUCUCUCUUUGGGGUGUGUGCAUUCCUCUUCUAAAUAACCUUCUGCUUAAACUGUCUGUGUGUCUCAACUGAACUCUGUCCUUCAAGAAGAUAAGAAUGAAGAAAUCACUAUAACAUAAUCUAAUGGAUUAAACCUGUGGAAUGAUUCUGCUCACAAUUAAGAUGGGUCCUCCAACAGCAGUUCAUUUAAUCAAGAUAAUCCUCCACGGGCAUGCCGAGAAGUCAAUCUCCCAAGUGAUUCUGGAUCCUGUCAAGUUGGCAAUUAACACUAACCAUAACAAUAUUCUAGUAGAUAGAUGUUUGACUCUUUAAUUCCUUUGUGUAAGUGUAGUAUAGUCACCUCUAUUCUUGAUAUAUUUUUACCUUUUUAUUGAUUCUUUGUGAACUUCACAUCCUGAACCUCAGUCCCAUUCAUCUCCCUACCCUUUCAUAUCUGUCCUUGGAACCUCCCUCUAAAAAGAAAACAACAACAACAAAAAAGUAAAAAUAAUAACAAAGCACCACCAAUAAAAACACCUUGCCAUAGAAACUGUGGUGUGUCACAAUGUUUCACUGUAUAUCCUUUAACCCAAAUAGGUUUGCUUGCAAAUCUUCGUUGCAAUGAGUCAUUGGUCUAGUUUGAGGCCUCUAGC